GGUUGACCUCGGAAUUAGGUA
rnacentral:rRNA from 1 species